UACGUAGGUCCCGAGCGUUGUCCGGAUUUAUUGGGCGUAAAGCGAGCGCAGGUGGUUUAAUAAGUCUGAUGUAAAAGGCAGUGGCUCAACCAUUGUGUGCAUUGGAAACUGUCAAACUUGAGUGCAGAAGGGGAGAGUGGAAUUCCAUGUGUAGCGGUGAAAUGCGUAGAUAUAUGGAGGAACACCGGUGGCGAAAGCGGCUCUCUGGUCUGUAACUGACGCUGAGGCUCGAAAGCGUGGGGAGCGAACAGG
rnacentral:rRNA from 1 species